CACAUGUUUAUAUUGUGACAUGAACUCUCCCUCUGGCGAAAUAAUACAAAUGUUUAAGUUGAAAAAAAAAAGCUUAACGUUGACUGAAAAAUAGGCUUAGGAGUAAUUACAGAUACAGGCAGGUAAAACGAGAGUGAUAUGUGGGUCGAUUCUGUAUUAAUACUUAUAAUUUCUGUCUGUACGGCAUUUUUAGGGGAAGGCCUGACUUGGUUGAUGGUCUACAGAACUGAAAAGUAUCAAAAACUAAAAGCUGAAGUUGAACGCCAAAGUAAACGAUUGGAAAAAAAGAAGGAAACACAUGGAGAUACAGGGGAUAGACAACAGAAAAA